rnacentral:lncRNA from 1 species
GUUUUUCUAGAGGCAUCUUAUCUUUAGUGUCAGCUAGAGGAGCAUCUGUUUCCUCACUUGUGGGCUUGUCCUCAGCAGUUAGGUCCUUGCAGAGGACCUGGAGCCUGCGGGCAGGGCUGCAGCCAGAGCCUAAGACCCAGGACGGAGUCAGAUCACAGGCACUAGGGGUGGAGGUCACGUCGGGCAGAGUCAGAUCACAGGCACUAGGGGUGGAGGUCAUGUCGGGCAGAGUCAGAUCGCAGGCACUAGGGGUGGAGGUCACGUCGGGCAGAGUCAGAUCGCAGGCACUAGGGGUGGAGGUCACGUCGGGCAGAGUCAGAUCACAGGCACUAGGGGUGGAGGUCACGUCGGGCAGAGUCAGAUCACAGGCACUAGGGGUGGAGGUCACGUCGGGCAGAGUCAGAUCGCAGGCACUAGGGGUGGAGGUCACGUCGGGCAGAGUCAGAUCGCAGGCACUAGGGGUGGAGGUCACGUCGGGCAGAGUCAGAUCGCAGGCACUAGGGGUGGAGGUCAUGUCGGGCAGUCAGAUCGCAGGCACUAGGGGUGGAGGUCACGUCGGGCCGAGUGCGCUGCAGUCAGAAGAGGAGCUGUGUCCCGCAUACGGUGAUUGUAAGCCAGGUCCAUGCCACCAAGAGCUGGAGCUGUGGAGUAGUACUUGGUCCCCA